rnacentral:miRNA from 1 species
UCUCAUGAACAUGUCUGCAGAGUGCGCAUUUUGCUUUUUAAUUAAAAAGCAAAAUGCGCACUCUGCGGACAUGUUCAUAAGA